rnacentral:rRNA from 1 species
AGAUUUAAAAAUUAUUUUUUUUUAGUAUAAAAUGUUUUAUAAAAAAUAUUUUUUUGUUUUAGUAAAUAAAAUUGAAUUGAUGUUUUCUUGAUAGUUAAGAAGUAUAUUAAUAGGAAUUUAAACAUUAAGAAUAAGUAAAUUUUUUUUAUUGUACCUUUUGUAUCAGGGUUUAAUUAAUAAAAAAAGAUGAAUUCUGUUUUCCCGAAUUAAAAAGAUUUAUUUUAAUUUGUUUUUUAAUGUAACAAAUUUUGUUUAAAAUUAAAAUGGGAGCGAAAAGUUAAUCGUGUUUUAAUAUAUCUGGUUAACAAAUAAAUAAAUUUAAUUUAGUUUGAAUUAUGUUAAAUUUAAAAUUUAUUAAUUAAAGUAUAUUUCAUAUAAUUUUAUUAAAUAUAAUUUUAAUAAAAGUUUUAAUAUGAUUAAAAUGAUUUUUGAUUUAGUUAUGAAUAAAAUUUUCUUUUCAGUUUGUAAAAAAUGAUUUCGUAGUUUUUUUUAUUUUUAAUUUCAUUUAAUUUGAAUUUGUUAAUUAAAUUUAAUUUUUUAUUUUAAAUUUUAUUUUAAAAUUAGUAUAAUUUUUAUUUGUAAUUAAUUGUUAUUUAUUUAAUAGUAACUUGGCAAAUAUAAUUUUUACCUGUUUAUCAAAAACUUUUCUUAAAUGAAUUURAUUAUUAAUUCCAAUCUGCUCACUGAAUUUUAAAGAGCCGCGGUAAAUUGACUGUGCUAAGGUAGCAUAAUAAUUUGUCUUUUAAUUGGAGACUGGAAUGAAUGAUUAAAUAUAAAAUUUUCUUUCUUUUAUUUAAUUUAAAAUUUAAUUUUAAAGUUAAAAAUCUUUAAUUUUUUUAAGGGACGAGAAGACCCUAUAGAUUUUUAUUAGUAGAGGUUAAUUAAUUUUUAUAGUUAAUUUUAAAAUAAUUUGACUGGGGUGGUUAAAAAAUUUGAUUUGCUUUUUUUUUGUUUUUAUUGAUAAGUAUAUUUUAUGAUCCUUGAUUUUGAUUAAUAGAAUAAAUUACCUUAGGGAUAACAGCGUAAUUUUUUUGGAAAGUUCAUAUAGAAAAAAGAGAUUGCGACCUCGAUGUUGAAUUAAGAAUUUGUUUAUAAGGAGAAAUAUAAAUAAAUAGUCUGUUCGACUAUUAAAAUCUUACAUGAUUUGAGUUCAGACCGGCGUAAGCCAGGUCAGUUUCUAUCUUUAAAAAAUAAUUGGUGUUUAGUACGAGAGGAUUAACAUUGUAUAUUUAAUAUUAUUUAAAAAUUUAAUUUAUUU